CUAAGGACUAAUAUCUUCCUGUUCAACAUAAACCUCUGUUUAGGGCAGAGUUGAAAUCUGGAAAGGAGAGCAUUUAUAUCCCAACACUUUAAAUACCUAUUUAAGCUUCAAGGUGAAGAUAAGUGGGAGGAAUUACUUAAAGCUCAUUUAAACUGGACCCAUAUCUACUUAUUGUUCUCGUGUAAUUGUCUCAUUUAUUGUAAAAUCACCCCGCCCCUUCCUUCAUAAUAUUGUAAAGCACUGUGGAAUUAGUUGGCGCAAUAUAAAUAACUAAUAAUAAAGUAGACAGAUAUUGUGACAUGGGUCAGAGAAUUUGACGAUUUAGCAU